rnacentral:rRNA from 1 species
CCUACGGGAGGCAGCAGUGGGGAAUCUUGCGCAAUGGGCGAAAGCCUGACGCAGCCAUGCCGCGUGAAUGAUGAAGGUCUUAGGAUUGUAAAAUUCUUUCACCGGGGACGAUAAUGACGGUACCCGGAGAAGAAGCCCCGGCUAACUUCGUGCCAGCAGCCGCGGUAAUACGAAGGGGGCUAGCGUUGCUCGGAAUUACUGGGCGUAAAGGGAGCGUAGGCGGAUAGUUUAGUCAGAGGUGAAAGCCCAGGGCUCAACCUUGGAAUUGCCUUUGAUACUGGCUAUCUUGAGUAUGGGAGAGGUAUGCGGAACUCCGAGUGUAGAGGUGAAAUUCGUAGAUAUUCGGAAGAACACCAGUGGCGAAGGCGGCAUACUGGCCCAUUACUGACGCUGAGGCUCGAAAGCGUGGGGAGCAAACAGGAUUAGAUACCCUGGUAGUCCACGCUGUAAACGAUGAGUGCUAGUUGUCGGCAUGCAUGCAUGUCGGUUGACGCAGCUAACGACAUAAGACACUCCGCCGUCGGGGAGGUACGGUCGGCGAAGUAAGUUAAAACGUUAAAAGUUAAAGUUAGUUACGGCGUGAGACGUUGCCGACGGACGACGACGAGGGGAGGAGG